AGUGAACGCUGGCGGUAGGCCUAACACACGCAAGUCGAACGGCAGCACAGUAAGAGCUUGCUCUUACGGGUGGCGAGUGGCGGACGGGUGAGGAAUACAUCGGAAUCUACUUUUUCGUGGGGGAUAACGUAGGGAAACUUACGCUAAUACCGCAUACGACCUACGGGUGAAAGCAGGGGAUCUUCGGACCUUGCGCGAUUGAAUGAGCCGAUGUCGGAUUAGCUAGUUGGCGGGGUAAAGGCCCACCAAGGCGACGAUCCGUAGCUGGUCUGAGAGGAUGAUCAGCCACACUGGAACUGAGACACGGUCCAGACUCCUACGGGAGGCAGCAGUGGGGAAUAUUGGACAAUGGGCGCAAGCCUGAUCCAGCCAUACCGCGUGAGUGAAGAAGGCCUUCGGGUUGUAAAGCCCUGUUGUUGGGAAAGAAAAGCAGCAGGUUAAUACCCCGCUGUUCUGACGGUACCCAAAGAAUAAGCACCGGCUAACUUCGUG
rnacentral:rRNA from 1 species